GUCCUUUAGGUAUUUAUUUAAGGUCUGACCUGCUCAAUGAUUAGUUUAAAUGGCUGCGGUAAUUUAACCGUACAAAGGUAGCAUAAUCAUUUGUCUUUUAAUUGAAGGCUGGUAUGAAUGGUUGGACGAGAAAUUUGCUUUCUUUAUAUUAUAAGAUGAAAUUAAUUUCUUAGUUAAAAAGCUAAGAUGUUUUUAUAGGACGAGAAGACCCUAUAGAAUUUUAUAGUUUUUUUUAAAAUUGAUUUUUUGUUUAUUAUAUUUAUUUUUAAAAAAAAUUAUUUUGUUGGGGUGACAUGAAGAUUCUAUUAACUCUUCUGUUUUAUUUUCAAUAAUUAUUGUUUUUUUGAUCCAUUAUUAUUGAUUAUCAGAUUAAAUUACCUUAGGGAUAACAGCGUAAUUUCUUUUUAGAGUUCUUAUCGAUAAGGAAGUUUGCGA
rnacentral:rRNA from 1 species